rnacentral:rRNA from 1 species
UACGGAGGGUGCAAGCGUUAAUCGGAAUUACUGGGCGUAAAGGGUGCGUAGGUGGUUAAAUAAGUUAUCUGUGAAAUCCCUGGGCUUAACCUGGGCAGGUCAGAUAAUACUGUAUAACUCGAGUAUGGGAGAGGGUAGUGGAAUUUCCGGUGUAGCGGUGAAAUGCGUAGAGAUCCGGAGGAACACCGACGGCGUAGGCAGCGCCCUGGCUGUGAAUAAAGCUGACACUGAGGCACGAAAGCUGGGGGAGCAAACAGG